rnacentral:rRNA from 1 species
UACGAAGGGGGCUAGCGUUGUUCGGAUUUACUGGGCGUAAAGGGCGCGUAGGCGGUACUUCAAGUCAGGCGUGAAAGCCCCGGGCUCAACCUGGGAACCGCGCUUGAGACUGGAGAACUAGAGUUCGGGAGAGGAUGGUGGAAUUCCCAGUGUAGAGGUGAAAUUCGUAGAUAUUGGGAAGAACACCGAUGGCGAAGGCAGCCAUCUGGACCGACACUGACGCUGAGGCGCGAAAGCGUGGGGAGCAAACAGG